rnacentral:rRNA from 1 species
CCUACGGGAGGCAGCAGUAGGGAAUAUUGCACAAUGGGCGAAAGCCUGAUGCAGCAACGCCGCGUGCGCGAUGAAGGCCUUCGGGUCGUAAAGCGCUUUUCGGGGAGACGAGGAAGGACGGUAUCCCCGGAAUAAGGAUCGGCUAACUACGUGCCAGCAGCCGCGGUAAAACGUAGGAUCCGAGCGUUAUCCGAAUUCACUGGGCGUAAAGCGCGUGUAGGCGGUCUUAUAAGUUGGAUGUGAAAUCUCCUGGCUCAACUGGGAGAGGCCGUUCAAUACUGUAGGACUAGAGGGCAGUAGAGGGAGGUGGAAUUCCCGGUGUAGUGGUGAAAUGCGUAGAUAUCGGGAGGAACACCAGUGGCGAAGGCGGCCUCCUGGACUGCACCUGACGCUCAGACGCGAAAGCUAGGGGAGCGAACGGGAUUAGAAACCCCGGUAGUCCUAGCCGUAAACGAUGUAGACUGGGUGUUGGUGGGGUAAAAUCCGCCGGUGCCGAAGCAAACGCGAUAAGUCUACCGCCUGGGGACUACGGCCGCAAGGUUAAAACUCAAAGGAAUUGACGG